UGAACGCUGGCGGCGUGCCUAACACAUGCAAGUCGAACGAGAAACUCCGAGCUUGCUCGGAGGAGUAAAGUGGCGCACGGGUGAGUAACGCGUGGGUAACCUGCCCUUGAAUCUGGGAUAACUUCGCGAAAGCGUUGCUAAUACCGGAUAUUGUCCCGAAGAUUGUGGUUUUCGGGAUGAAAGGUGACCUAUUCAUGAAAGUUGCCGUUCAGAGAGGGGCCCGCGUACCAUUAGCUUGUUGGUGGGGUAAUGGCCUACCAAGGCGACGAUGGUUAGCUGGUCUGAGAGGAUGAUCAGCCACACUGGAACUGAAACACGGUCCAGACUCCUACGGGAGGCAGCAGUCAGGAAUUUUGCGCAAGGGGGGAAACCCUGACGCAGCAACGCCGCGUGAGUGAAGAAGGCUUUCGGGUCGUAAAGCUCUGUCAAGUGGGAAAAAAUUCUUCCGAUAAAUAGUCGGAAGGACUGAUGGUACCACUGGAGGAAGCACCGGCUAACUCC
rnacentral:rRNA from 1 species